rnacentral:rRNA from 1 species
GACAGAGGGUGCAAACGUUGCUCGGAAUCACUGGGCGUAAAGGGCGUGUAGGCGGGACAGUAAGUCGGGCGUGAAAUCCCUGGGCUCAACCCAGGAACUGCACUCGAAACUACUAUUCUUGAGUGUCGGAGAGGAAAGCGGAAUUCCUGGUGUAGAGGUGAAAUUCGUAGAUAUUCGGAAGAACACCAGUGGCGAAGGCGACUUACUGGACACGUAUUGACGCUGAGGUGCGAAAGCGUGGGGGAGCAAACAGG